rnacentral:rRNA from 1 species
ACAAGCAGCGGAGCGUGUGGUUUAAUUCGAUGCUACACGAAGAACCUUACCAGGGCGUUGACAUCCCUUGAAGCAGCUAGAGAUAGCUGUGUCCUUCGGGACAAGGAGACAGGUGGUGCAUGGUUGUCGUCAGCUCGUGUCGUGAGAUGUUGGGUUAAGUCCCGCAACGAGCGCAACCCCUGUGGUUAGUUGCCAGCAAGUAGCGUUGGGCACUCUAGCCAGACUGCCGGUGAUAAAUCGGAGGAAGGUGGGGACGACGUCAAAUCAUCAUGCCCUUUAUGUCCUGGGCUACACACGUACUACAAUGGCCGUUACAACGGGAAGCGAAGGAGCAAUCCGGAGCAAAUCCCUUAAAGGCGGUCCCAGUUCAGAUUGUGGGCUGAAACUCGCCCACAUGAAGGCGGAAUUGCUAGUAAUUGCAGAUCAGCAUGCUGCAGUGAAUACGUUCCCGGGCCUU